CUACGGGGGGCUGCAGUAGGGAAUCUUAGACAAUGGGGGAAACCCUGAUCUAGCCAUGCCGCGUGAGUGAUGAAGGCCUUAGGGUUGUAAAGCUCUUUCGCUGGGGAAGAUAAUGACGGUGCCCAGUAAAGAAACCCCGGCUAACUCCGUGCCAGCAGCCGCGGUAAUACGGAGGGGGUUAGCGUUGUUCGGAAUUACUGGGCGUAAAGCGCGCGUAGGCGGGCUAUUAAGUCAGGGGUGAAAUCCCGGGGCUCAACCCCGGAACUGCCUUUGAUACUGGUAGUCUUGAGUUCGAGAGAGGUGAGUGGAAUUCCGAGUGUAGAGGUGAAAUUCGUAGAUAUUCGGAGGAACAUCAGUGGCGAAGGCGACUCACUGGCUCGAUACUGACGCUGAGGUGCGAAAGUGUGGGGAGCAAACAGGAUUAGAUACCCGUGUAGUC
rnacentral:rRNA from 1 species